rnacentral:rRNA from 1 species
UACGGAGGGUGCAAGCGUUAAUCGGAAUUACUGGGCGUAAAGCGUGCGCAGGCGGUUUUGUAAGCCAGAUGUGAAAUCCCCGGGCUUAACCUGGGAAUGGCAUUUGGGACUGCAAGGCUUGAGUGCGGCAGAGGAGACUGGAAUUCCUGGUGUAGCAGUGAAAUGCGUAGAUAUCAGGAGGAACACCGAUGGCGAAGGCAGGUCUCUGGGCUGACACUGACGCUCAUGCACGAAAGCGUGGGGAGCAAACAGG